GUUCCUGUUUUCUUUAUUCGGUCUUUCCUGUUCCUGUCCUCGUUGUGUGAAUUCGUAUCCAGCUGUGUUUGAUUAAUUGGUUCAUUUGCUCUCAGGUGUGUCUCAUUGGUGUCUGUGUAUUUAUAGUGUGUUCUGCCCCUUGUUUCCCCGUCCGCUGUUAAAUGUCAUUCAUAAGUUCCAGUAUUUGUCUCCUCGAUCCUCCCUCGUGAAGCGUGACCCUACCUUUUAAAGACUUCUUUCACCAGGAAGACGAAUUUCAAAGCAUGACAUCAUUCUCCAAUUCUCCCGUGAGGGCGUGACCAGAUAAAGAAAAUCCAGUCCUCAGAUGAGUGCAAGGCAUAAAGUAACUUACUAUUCCUACCUAAAAGCUGGAAUGUAAGAGAGGUCACCGAAGAGAGGUACGCUGUCCUCAAACCGCCACGACACUGUCGUAUGGGCUGGCGCUGAGGUCAGGAGAGAGGUCAGUCAGGUAGGAGACAGCAGGCCUCCAGCAUUUUGGAGCAGCAUUCCAGAACCUGAUCUGCCCUGCCACAGAAUAUUUUCUCAUUUUGAGCUGAAGCCAGUUUUGUAAUAUCACUUGUUGAUAGAUGGUUUGAUAUGACCCCGCAGAGAAAACGUAG